ACCAAUAUGGGCUUCAAAAUAUGAAAAAUAAUGAAUUUCUGCUUGUAGUUACCCGCUGAACCUUUUUUCAGGGAAAAUCGAAGUUAGAUGAAAACAGGUGAAGAUGAGAUUAUGUUCUGCUUCAGGAAAUAAAGAAAUGGGGUAUGAUUCUUUUUUUAGUUGUUUCCAUUUCCCUGAAGAAGCUGUAGUAUCCAAGAAAAGGGAAUGAUGUAAAUGCCAAUGAAGCAAAUUGUGAACUGAUUUUAGUUAACUAAAUAGUAAUUUUU
rnacentral:misc_RNA from 1 species